UUUGCAGGGCAGGUUUUUGAUGGCUUCACUGAGCUUAAGGAACUCCAAGGGUCUCUAGGCCUUACGCCCCCAUUAUGUUAGCUCGGGUCACAGCAAAGGGACUCUUGUCUUACCUUACAAAUUGUCCACACUCCACACACCUAAAGUAACAAUUAACAUCACUCUCUGGGGCUUAUUGAAGAAGAACAAAGCCGAAUCCCUCCCACCGCGCCCCAGAAGCCUCCCUCUCAGCUUUGUUCUCCGCUGGGCGCAAUUAUCAAUGACUCCACGUCGCGGCCCCUCCGGGUCAGGGUGCAUUUUGUUCCUCUCUUUCGCUCUCACCUGCCCCUUCCUUUCCAGCCUCUCUUGUGCCAGCUCUUAGGAUGUGAGAAAAGCCCAGCCCCUGUGUGAAAAGUAAGCCUGAAUGCUAGGGGAGAAGAGCCAGCUUUGAUUUCCAAGCGAGACUAACACUCAGCGAUCUUUGCAGGGGAAGGUGAGGCAGACACAGCAUCAGAGAAGUUCAGGCGCUGGUCCACGGUCGCACAGCGUUAUCGCCGGAAAGCCGAGAUCCAGGGACCUCUCAGAGUCCAGAACAACGAUGGCUCUUGGUUGGCACUCAGGAUUCCCUUGGUGAAGGUGUGGAUGAGGCAGCCUGCUGUUCUCACCACACAUUCACGCCCACGGGCUGCAGAGACCAACGGACCGAUUGGUGUGCUGGACGUCCGUGCAGGUGUUUGCAGAACUCCGGACGAGGCAAGGGCAGGACGAGACUGUCUUUCCACCCCUGUCUUCCUCCUUCCUUUGGGGUUUCCCGCUCCCAGCGGUGGCUGCUGCAGACCUAGGGACCAUGCACGCACCCCCGCUGGGCCCUCCCAGACCCGCUGAGCGUUGCUGGCUGGGCCGUGCACAUCAAGGCAGAAAUAAAAAGAUGCAACUUUGAGUU